GUCGCACUGGCUGCCGGGAUUGCUCCGCCGCUACUGUGGACAUGUCCGCCAUGUUUUCCAUGGCGCAGAGAGUAGACCAGACGACAAAAAUAGCCAUUAUAUCAGGUUAAUCUCGACCAAAAAUGGCUUUUCGUGCGACAUUUCAAGCAAGUGAAAACCAAUGAAUUCUACUUUUGUGGAAACAGCCGUGUCCCUCCUGGAUUUAUACCGAUAUCUCUAUCGUAUUCUGGCGGGAUUCACAUUUCCUUCGGUGGCUCUGUGAUUACGUUAGGCGCUAACAAUGAGUAAAUUAUCGUUCCGAGCGCGAGCGCUAGACGCCGCCAAACCUCUCCCAGUCUACCGUAACAAAGAUCUUCCAGACCUAAAUGACUGCGUCUCGAUCAACCGGGCAGUUCCACAAAUGCCAACGGGCAUGGAAAAAGAGGAAGAACUGGAGCACCAUCUGCAGAGGGCCAUCUCAGCCCAGUCGGUGUUCCGGGAGAAGAAGGAACACAUGGUGAUCCCGGUGCCCGAGGCUGAGAGCAACAUCACCUACUACGACCGCCUCUACAAAGGCGAACUCAAGGUUCCCAAACAGCUCAUGCACAUCCAGCCCCUUGGCCUUGACAAUGAGGAGGCCGACUACGAUAUGGACUCUGAGGACGAGACCCUCCUCAACAGGCUCAACCGCAAGAUGGAGAUCAAGCCACUGCAGUUUGAGACCAUGGUGGACCGACUGGAGAAGGCCAGCACCAACCAGCUUGUGUCACUCCCGGAGGCCAAGGUGCUGCUGAACGAGGACGACUACCUCCUCAAGUCGGUGUAUGACUACUGGGUGAGGAAGAAGAAGAACUGCAGGGGGCCGUCGCUCAUCCCGCUGAUCAAGCUGGAGAAGCGGGACGGCUCCACCAACAGCGACGCCUAUGUGGCCUUCCGCCGCCGGACGGAGAAGAUGCAGACCAGGAAGAACCGCAAAAACGACGAGGCGUCUUACGAGAAGAUGCUGAAACUGCGGCGGGAGUUCAGCCGUACGGUCACCAUCCUGGAGAUGAUCAAGAGAAGGGAGAAGGCCAAGCGUGAGCUGCUCCACCUCACCCUGGAGGUGGUGGAGAAGAGGUACCAGCUGGGCGACUUCACCGGGGAGGUCCUCAGUGAGGUCACCGUUCCCCUGGCCGAGAAGCCGGCUUACAUCGCUCCCGUGAGCCUGGCCAACGGCAUGCGCCACAAAACAGAGCUGAAGAUCAAGACGCACAAGGCAGGUCUUCCCCACGCCUACCACACUUCCAUGAAGGAGGAGCUUCCCUUCGACUUUGUCCGGCCGAAGAAGAAGUACACCAAGAGGGACAAGUUGAACCCGCCGCGCCGCCCCGGACGCCCCCCCAGCCUCUACACCGUCAACAAGGCAGACAUCAAGCAGUACGACUUCCACAGCUCGGGCGAGGAGGACUUCCCAGCACCACUGUCUCCGCCGUCGGAGCCCGACGAGGAGAACGAUCCCGACGGAGUGUUCGCCUUCCGAAGGAAAGCUGGGUGCCAAUAUCUCUCGCCGUGUGCGGAGCUGAACCCGGGGCCCCUGUGGGAGCACCCAGAGCUGGCGGGGCUGGACGCCCUGCGCCACCGCCACUCCCUCACCGCCCUGUGUGUACCCCGCCGCUUCGUCGGCCUGGCGCGACGCAGGAUGGGCCGCGGUGGCAGGGUCGUCCUGGACCGGGCCUCCUCCGGCACUGACGCGGUGCUGAGGCAGCUGGACCCGGAGGUGGUCACUCAACCCGGCGCCACGGACUCUCCCGCCCCCCCACAGAGAGGUCCGGGUCAGCGCUGCGCACCGAGCACCUCCUUGUCUGAGAUCCUGGACAACAUCCAGGCGCUCAGGUGGCGCUGCUUCAGGCCACGCCCCUCUCAGGACCACAACCAGGCCAGCAAGACGAGCCGGCUCUCCACAGACUGCAGACUGGCCGCGCGCCUCUCGGCCUGCCCCAGGAACGGCAUCGGGGGCAUCACAGAGGAGCAGUACCAGGACCACCAGCAGCAGCUGGCCCAGAUGCAGAAGCAGCAGCUGGCCCAAACUUCCACUGCUCCCGUCAAGCAUUCCUCACAGCCUGAGCUCAAAGUCACGCAGACCACUUGUUCCAACGAUUGCACUUCAAAGACCCUAGACUCUGCCAGCGCCCACUUUGCUGCCUCGGCGGUGGUCAGUGCGCCCCCCCAGGGCCACGUCAACAACGAGAACAAGCCCCACAAGCCCAGCGUCAACGGUGUCCUCCAUCCUCCAGGCACCACCAGACCUCCACACCCCACCACCACCCCCAGCACCAGUACCACCAGCAUGGGCGGUGGCGGCAACGGCAGCGGCACCACCACCACCUCCACCUCACACAGCGGCGGGCCCCGGGGCCUCGGGCGAUCGUCUUCCUCCACCACGUCUUCCUCGCUGCAGUCUCUGCCCAACGCGCGCAGUCACGUCAGCGCCGUGUCGCCAGCCAACAGCCACCACAGCGCCCGCCCGUCCGCCCCCUCGCCGUCAGCCUUAAAGCUGGCCACCGCCGCCAGCGCGCUGGGUCGCGUGCCCAAGGUGCCGCCGGCCAGCACCGGCGGCACGUUGCCCAGGUAGACGGCCGCGCCAUCUCCAUCCACCGCUUUUAUUUUCAGCAACCGCAGGCUCCACCUCAGGGAUAUAGGAGAACCACGAGCCAGAGAGACUGAAUGGAAUAUCAGAGACCACAGUGGCAAUGGA